rnacentral:rRNA from 1 species
GACAGAGGAUGCAAGCGUUAUCCGGAAUGAUUGGGCGUAAAGCGUCUGUAGGUGGCUUUUAAGUCCGCCGUCAAAUCCCAGGGCUCAACCCUGGACAGGCGGUGGAAACUACCAAGCUGGAGUACGGUAGGGGCAGAGGGAAUUUCCGGUGGAGCGGUGAAAUGCGUGAGAGAGUUGGAAAGAACACCAAUGGCGAAAGCACUUUACUGGGCUAUCACUGACACUGAGAGACGAAAGCUAGGGUAGCAAAUGGG